AGCACGGAUGUGCAGGAAUGGCUGACUCUGAUAAUGCCGCGUUCAUCUCAGCGAUCCCAAAGAGCAUGACCGGAGGAGUCAGCCUUGCCCGGAGGGGACCGCAGCGGCCGGUUCAUCGACCCCAAAGACGCCACUUGGCAGCUUAGGAUGUGGCAGCGAUGGCAGAGGGAAAGGCAGGUCGGCUUGCUUUGGGAAGAGCAGAAAAGCAGAGACAGAGGGAUCCCCUCCAAGACAUCGUUGCUGCGUUCAGACGCUGCCGGCAAGGGGCUGUACCCGCCGGAGGAACCAGCCCCGUCUGGAAGCACCUGCAAGCUAGCCAAGAACGAGACCUCUCCAUGGUAACUGCAGUUUACCGGAAAGUGAGAAAAUCCUGCAUUCGAGAGAGCUAAGUGACUUGUUACAGUUCAGCGCAACCACGAUAAAAAAGCAAAAAAAGUAAAUAUGGUGUUUCCUCUGCGGGAACGUUCUCUUCUCUUUCUCUUUCCAGCUGGAAAAACAAAACAAAAUAAAAGGUCUUUCUGCUUUA